rnacentral:lncRNA from 1 species
AGAAUAUGAAAAUAUUAUUUUUAAUUCAUCUUAUUAAUGCAAUUAUUAUAUAUGAGAUGGUCUCUUCUAAAAUACAAAAUGAUUGAUGUAAAUCUCAUAGAAGUACUACAGAGUUUUAGUGUUUCGUAUCACUGACUGGAGGUAAGCAACAUGGGAGUUUACUACAAUGAAUUGGUUCACAUAAUGAUGAAUCUCGACAACAAGGAUUUAAACCUUGUACACCACCAGCUAGAGCUCCUAAGAUUGCAACAAGUAACAAGGCAUACUUCAAUAAACUCUUCACUGGAAUUUCCAUCUUAACAAACUUGCUUUGCAAAAAAGAGAUUAUUGAAU